CAGCAGGGCAGUGUCCACCAUGGCCUGGACCCCUCUCCUUCUUGUUCUCCUGUCUCACUGCACAGGUUCCCUGUCCCAGCCUGUGCUGACCCAGCCGCCCUCCCUCUCGGCAUCUCCUGGAGCAUCAGCCAGACUCACCUGCACCCUGAGAAGUGACAUCAGUGUUGGUGGUAAAUAUGUGCACUGGCACCAGCAGAAGCCAGGGAGCCCUCCCCGGUACCUCCUGAGUUUCAAGUCUGACUCAGAUAAGCACCAGGGCUCCGGGGUCCCCAGCCGCUUCUCUGGCUCCAAAGAUGCCUCGGCCAACGCAGGGAUCCUGCACAUCUCUGGGCUGCAGCCUGAGGACGAGGCUGACUACUACUGUUUGAUAUGGCACAACAGCGCUAACGCUUACACAGUGCUCCAGACCCAAAGGGAAGUGAGACAUAAACCUCCUUUCCACUCUCCUGGCCUCGUGCCGUCACCCCUCCUGGUGGCUCUGAGCAAGUCUAGCUCAGGGAGUGACUUCUGUUGUCACAUCUUCAAGCAACAUGCCAUUUUCUAUGAACUGGUAGAUCUCAAAGUGUCAUAA